GAGUCGGCUCCGUGCAGAGGUGCGCUUUCACGGCACUCACCAGAUAUAGAGGAAACAUCAGCGGUGUAUUUUCCACCUUCUGUGCCACGCUGGGAUACUAAAUCACUUCUUUUUUUUAUUGCUCUUCAUUCAUGUGAAGUUCAAUCAGGGACAGCAAGGUGUCGCGGACGAAGCAGCUGGAAGCGUGGGGAAGGAUUUUUCCUUAAACCUCUCUUCUCUUGGUUGAUUUUGGAGUUGUGACUGCUGCCAUGUGCACUUCCUAGUUUCUUUUAACAGAAAGGAGAGGGUAAAGCUCAUGCUACUCACCAUCCUCCUCCUCCUCCUGGCUGGAUCUCUAUGGAGAGGGUAUGCUGUAUGCGCUCACGCAGCUCUUGGAGUUACUUCGCGGCCGAGGCAACACCGUGAAUGUUAAGUUUCACCGACCUGGAGAGCAGAAGAAGACACACUUAAUCUCAUUUUGAAUGCCUUUGCAAGGAGUUUGCUGGUUUCUGUGCUGCAGGCAGGGCUUCAGUUUGCUCGGACGGGACUAUGGGGAGAAAGAGGAGGAAGAGUCUUUUGAAUUGCGCAACAAGGAGGACUUGACUCCCAAUGGACGGACUCCAGCUGAGGUGACUGUUUCUCAGCCAACUCGCACAGCCAAUGGAACAAAUGGGCACACUGUCUCAGAGGCGCCUGACGAGAUGAAGAGUCUGAUCAUUGAGAAGAAUAAGAUGGGCCUGGAGGAAGAGCCUGAGCUGCUGGUGAAAGGUGAGUUCGACUUGCACGACUAACGCAUCACAUCACACCACUGUUGCUCGGACACUCUAAAUCAGAAUCAGAAAUACUUUAUCGAUCACUGAGGAGAAAUUGCUUAAAUGAAACGCAUCAACCUGCUACACUCAGACAGUAUUGAGCAUUGUAGUGAAGCUCAAGUGAAG
ensembl:lncRNA